rnacentral:rRNA from 1 species
AAAGGAAUAGACGGGGGCCCGCACAAGCGGUGGAGCAUGUGGUUUAAUUCGAUGCAACGCGAAGAACCUUACCAUCCCUUGACAUCCAGAGAAGUUUCCAGAGAUGGAUUCGUGCCUUCGGGAGCUCUGAGACAGGUGCUGCAUGGCUGUCGUCAGCUCGUGUCGUGAGAUGUUGGGUUAAGUCCCGCAACGAGCGCAACCCUUAUCAUUAGUUGCUACCAUUUAGUUGAGAACUCUAAUGAGACUGCCGGUGAUAAACCGGAGGAAGGCGGGGACGACGUCAAGUCAUCAUGGCCCUUAUGGGAUGGGCUACACACGUGCUACAAUGGUCGGUACAAACAGUUGCGAAGCCGCGAGGUGGUGCUAAUCUGAUAAAACCGAUCGUAGUCCGGAUUGGAGUCUGCAACUCGACUCCAUGAAGUCGGAAUCGCUAGUAAUCGUGAAUCAGAAUGUCACGGUGAAUACGUUCCCGGGCCUUGUACACACCGCCCGU